CACCACACCAGCUUUCACACAAUCAGCUCAUCAAUGAUCACAUCUAUGCCAAGGAAUGUGUUGGACUGGGAGGAAAAUGGUCCCACCAGAUCCUGACUGGCUUUCUGACCCCCCAGUACAGAUGAUGUCAUAACAUGCUUCAAAUCUUCGGUUCACAUCAUUGGAUCCAAGUUCUAAAAACUCUCUUCUGGGUGGUUUCAAAGACGAGGAAACGGUUGCAGCCAUGACACAGUUUUCUGAACUUCAUGAUGCUUCGUCUAAACCAUGGACUCAGCUCAGUUCCUUCACAGCUUUGGUUUUCCUUCUUCUGACACAAAACUGUUCAGCUCUUCCCCAGGUGGUCGGUCCGUCUCAGCCGGUCCUGGCAACGGUUGGUUCUGACGUUCUUUUGUCGUGUCGGCUGGAACCUGCCGUCGAUGCUUCAGACAUGUCCAUAGAGUGGUCCAGAGGAGACCUAGACCCUUCAUAUGUCUAUGUGUGGUGGAGUGGAGAGGAACUAGAAAGUUCUAAACAUCCUGAUUAUAAAGGAAGAACGUCACUGUUAUUUGGUCAACUGGAGUCUGGAAACGUUUCACUGAAACUCUCCAACGUGAAACUGUCUGAUGAGGGAAAAUACAGAUGCAUCAUUCGUACACUGGGUCGAGGAUCUACUGUUGAA